rnacentral:rRNA from 1 species
UUUUUACUUAUUUUUAAUAUUAUUAAAUUAAAAUAAUCAGACGUGUGAUUAACAAAAUUUAAUCGGUAUUCAUACCUUUUGCAUAAUGGUUCAACUAUAUUAAAUGAAUAUUCAUAAUCCCGAGUUAAGAAGAUCUAAUUUACUUUGAGUUUUAGCAAUGAAAUAUUUAGUGUAGCAUUACUAAAGUAAAAAAGUAACUUAGGGGUGAUAGGUCUACAAUUCUUGAGAUAUCUGGAUGCCUGAGAAAUGUAUUAAGUACAUUAGACAUUGAAGGAGUGAUGAGAUUUCUUCAGAAUAGAAUUUAAGUUGCUAGUUUAAUUUUUUAUGGUUAAUAUCCUUUAUUUAUAAUAUUUUAAUAUCAUUUUUUACUGUUUAAAUCUAUGGUUUUAUCGGGCUGACAGGGAGAAUCUAGUUCUUGUUUAAUAAUGUUGAAAUUAGUAGUUUUAGUAAUUUUAGUAAAGGAACUCGGCAAUUAUAGCUCUCGUCUGUUUACCAAAAACAUAGCCUGAAGAAGUAUAUUUUAGGUGAGCCCUGCCCAGUGAAUCAAUUAUGUCUUAAACGGCCGCAGUACUUUGACUGUGCUAAGGUAGCGUAAUCAGUUGGCUUUUAAAUGGAGUCGAGAAUGAAAGGGUCUUCGGGGGCUAGCUGUCUCUACUAAAUUAAUUUUAAUUUACUUAGGGGGUGAAAAUUCCCUCAAUAAGAAAAAAGACGAGAAGACCCUAAGAGUUUUUUACUAAGCUAUAUGAAUAUAUAAGAAGUUUUUGCUGGGGCGGCAAGGAGACAAUUACAUAACCCUCCUUAAAAUUUUGUAGUAGACGUUUAUAUAAAGUACCAAGAAACUACCUUAGGGAUAACAGCAUAAUUUAAUGUAAGUUUGUGACCUCGAUGUUGGACUAGGGACUUUACGGCUAGCAGUCGCAAGAGCUGGUUCUGUUCGAACUAUCCUCCCCUACAUGAUCUGAGUUCAGACCGGCGCAAGCCAGGUCAGAUUCUAUCUUUUUGGUGAUACCCCUAGUACGAAAGGACCGAGGUAUUAUAAUGUUUUGUA